UCCGCGAUCUUGCGGUACACCUGGAACUGUGUGGUCUGGCUCAAAACACACACGUCUUUGCCGUCCUUCAUACAGUUAACAAGGUUACAUUCUUGCGGGCCGUCAGCUGUUUUUCCGAUUAAGGCAAGCUGGCAGUCUUCCCUCUCACAGCAAGCCCGCUGGCACUGCUCGACGUUCAUGAUCUCCGACAGCUGUUUUCGUGUAUGACCGACUGUUUGCGACUGCAAAAUGAAGUUGAACGAACUCUAUAAUGACCACACCUGUUACAACGAACCCGGAUGACGUCCGUGUAUAUUACGAACACAGCAGGUGAGCGUCUUCACUCCUGGGAUAUAAAGCAGCAAACAACUUCCUCUAGAGUGACGUCACUGUCUUUUAUAAGAUCCUCACUCCGAGCCCAAACUGUCGAACGAUCACUGAAGACCUCCAGAAAUUUCCUCAAAUGAUAAUAUAUCGUGAAGGCAGGAUAUGACUGCACAAUGUACUAAGCUCAAGGAUACACUUAUGUACUGUUGAUAACACUGUUGAUUAAUACAUUGUCAUACUUUUUUUAGGUGUUGUUUAUCAUAGUAGGAAUUAAGUACAAGUACAUCAAGGCACAUAUUUGCACCUGUAAACUUUAACAGAUACUGUUAAAGUCAAUUUGUUUGCCCUCCCCUUAAUUUAAUAUAAUGUUUCCCAAGUGAUCUUUAACAAACCAAAGAAAUUUUCACAGCAUUUCCUGUAAAACUAAAAUAAUUAUUCUGGAUUAAUAAUACGUCUUAUUUCUUAGUUUGUUUUGAAUAAAAGCAGUUUUUGAUUUAAUUUGAUUUUGAUUUUCAGUAUCAUUAGCCUCCUUAAAAAUAUUUACUGUGCUAUUUUAAUUGUCUAUACAACAAACCAGUUAUACAAUAACUUAUGAAUGACUAAUUAUUUUUACUUUAUAGCUAACAUAACCUUGUUAAGUCUAUAAAUUACACCUUAAUCUGAAUACAACUAUUCGGUAAAAUAACU
rnacentral:lncRNA from 1 species